UUUCCGUAGGUGAACCUGCGGAAGGAUCAUUAUUGGAGUUUGAAGCUUGAGGUUGCUCCUGGCUUUCCUCGGAGGGCAUGUGCACGCUUGUUGUCAGUUAUUACUCCCACUGUUCACAAAGUGUAGACCUUUCAGUAGGCCUAUUUUGUUUUUCACAAUCUCUGUCUGUAAUAGAAUGGAUCUGCAUCUUGGGAAAUAAAAUACAACUUUCAGCAACGGAUCUCUUGGCUCUC
rnacentral:misc_RNA from 1 species